CAGCAGCCGCGGUAAUACGAAGGGUGCAAGCGUUACUCAGAAUUACUGGGCGUAAAGCGUGCGUAGGUGGUGGUUUAAGUCCGUUGUGAAAGCCCUGGGCUCAACCUGGGAAUUGCAGUGGAUACUGGGUCACUAGAGUGUGGUAGAGGAUAGUGGAAUUUCCGGUGUAGCAGUGAAAUGCGUAGAGAUCGGAAGGAACAUCUGUGGCGAAGGCGACUAUCUGGGCCAACACUGACACUGAGGCACGAAAGCGUGGGGAGCAAACAGGAUUAGAUACCCGCGUAGUCCCUGUCUCUUAUAC
rnacentral:rRNA from 1 species